rnacentral:rRNA from 1 species
CACGGGGGUUGCAAGCGUUGUCCGGAAUUACUGGGCGUAAAGCGUGCGCAGGCGGUUGUGUAAGACAGGUGUGAAAUCCCCGGGCUUAACCUGGGAACUGCGCUUGUGACUGCACGGCUAGAGUAUGGCAGAGGGGGGUGGAAUUCCACGUGUAGCAGUGAAAUGCGUAGAGAUGUGGAGGAACACCGAUGGCGAAGGCAGCCCCCUGGGCCAAUACUGACGCUCAUGCACGAAAGCGUGGGGAGCAAACAGG